GCGCCCGUAGCUCAGCUGGAUAGAGCGCUGCCCUCCGAAGGCAGAGGUCACAAGUUCGAAUCUUGUCGGGCGCG
rnacentral:tRNA from 1 species